rnacentral:rRNA from 1 species
GAUGAACGCUAGCGGGAGGCCUAACACAUGCAAGCCGAGCGGUAUUGUUUCUUCGGAAAUGAGAGAGCGGCGUACGGGUGCGUAACACGUGUGCAACCUGCCUUUAUCUGGGGGAUAGCCUUUCGAAAGGAAGAUUAAUACUCCAUAAUAUAUUGAACGGCAUCGUUUAAUAUUGAAAGCUCCGGCGGAUAGAGAUGGGCACGCGCAAGAUUAGCUAGUUGGUGAGGUAACGGCUCACCAAGGCGAUGAUCUUUAGGGGGCCUGAGAGGGUGAUCCCCCACACUUGUACUGAGACACGGACCAGACUCCUACGGGAGGCAGCAGUGAGGAAUAUUGGUCAAUGGGUGCAAGCCUGAACCAGCCAUCCCGCGUGAAGGACGACUGCCCUAUGGGUUGUAAACUUCUUUUGUAUAGGGAUAAACCUACCCUCGUGAGGGUAGCUGAAGGUACUAUACGAAUAAGCACCGGCUAACUCCGUGCCAGCCGCCGCAGUAAUAC